GGCCAAGAUCAUCCCGACGGUUCCCGCAAGGGAUCAAAAGGGAACGCGGUGAGGACCGUUCGGUCCGAUGCCGCGGCUGCCCCCGCAACUGUGAGCGGCGAGCCUUUUCGCCACCGACGUCACUGGGCCACCUCGCCCGGGAAGACGGUGAGAAGGCGACGACCCGCGAGCCAGGAGACCUGCCGUCAGCCGUGGUCACACG
rnacentral:ncRNA from 16 species